ACAUGGAUUAGGAGGAGUGGUGAAUGAGAGAAGAAACAGUCUACCAUGGUUUUAACUCAAUUCUUAUUCUUCUUGAUGUGAAUAGCAGUUCUUUACAGGUUGGGGUACCACAGGGAAAGGGAGAAGAUAACUCUUUUCCAGUCAUUUCCAUUUUGUCCUGAAGACUGAGGUGCAAAGGUAGUCAAAUACCAGAUUGAAUUGGAUCUUGCACGACUUUCUCCUGAACGAAAAUGCGAGAAAAGAUGUAGAAAAAGGAGAAGCAUGACAAAGAAAUUCUGCAACGCAUGACAUGGUCAGGAGCAACCUCCCCCAUAAUGCUGUGACGACUUCUCCACCCGACCGCUUUGGUUGUCCAUUCCAGAACUGCUCACGACUCUCCCGCAAGGAGGAUGCUCUGUGGCUAGCGUGUGCUCCGGGCAGGCUUUGGAAAUUUGAAGAAAAGGGUUUUCUCCUUGUGCUCACAUUCAUGUGCUGUGCAAACACUUCCGUCUGCCGAUGCUCUUCCUCUCAAGGAUGUGAUGACACAACAGGCGUGCUGACUUGCAUGACGGAGAGCCGUGAUAGGUACUAGGAUUACAUGUUAUGCAACUUUUGUGUCGUCAUGUAUCAUCAGGCCCUAACGACUUCCUCUCAUGUGUCACUUACUCAUUCAACAGGUGCUAUUGAUAUUUACGUUUUAUUUAUAAAGUGCAAAUAAGAUUUAAAGUACUUAUACACUUUAUAAACUGUAUGAAAUAUAUAAAUAUGUAAAAUAUAUAAUUAAGUAUAUUUACACUAAGCCAAUAAGAACACUGGCCUCAAGACAUUCCAACGCACAGGCAUGUUGGAAGGUAUUAAAAAGACACCUCUGACCUGAGAAAUGACUUUUGACUUGUCCCUGGUACCAUAUACAUUGUGCUGCACCCAAUAAAUCUCUGCAAACUCUGGUAACUUAAAAUGCUGGGAUAUAUACUGCCUUUAGAAGGCCUUCAGCUUUGAGGUCCUUCAAGGGUCUCAAAUGCCUUACACCAGUGAUCCUAAAUGGGUAAUAGGGCCACGCCCCGCCUCCCGCCCACACACACACACACACACACACACACACACACACGCACAAACCAACCUGCUCAUCCCCAGAGCCCUUUGCUACCUCUGCAGCCUCA